rnacentral:rRNA from 1 species
AUGCAAGUCGAACGCAGUAGCAAUACUGAGUGGCAAACGGGUGAGUAUAAUGUGGGAAUCUGCCUUUUGGUUUGGAAUAACACGGGGAAACUUGUGCUAAUACCGAAUAAGCCCUUACGGGGAAAGUUUUAACGCCGAAAGAUGAGCCCGCACUUGAUUAGCUAGUUGGUAAGGUAAAAGCUUACCAAGGCAACGAUCAAUAGCUGUUCUUAGAGGAAGACCAGCCACAUUGGGACUGAGACACGGCCCAGACUCCUACGGGAGGCAGCAGUGGGGAAUCUUGCACAAUGGGGGAAACCCUGAUGCAGCGAUGCCGCGUGAGUGAAGAAGGCCCUUGGGUUGUAAAACUCUUUCGUCGGGGAAGAAAAUGACUGUACCCGAAUAAGAAGGUCCGGCUAACUUCGUGCCAGCAGCCGCGGUAAUACGAAGGGACCUAGCGUAGUUCGGAAUUACUGGGCUUAAAGAGCUCGUAGGUGGUUAAAAAAGUUGAUGGUGAAAUCCCAAGGCUCAACCUUGGAACUGCCAUCAAAACUUUUUAGCUAGAGUGUGAUAGAGGUAAGUGGAAUUUCUAGUGUAGAGGUGAAAUUCGUAGAUAUUAGAAAGAACACCAAAUGCGAAGGCAACUUACUGGGUCACUACUGACACUGAGGAGCGAAAGCAUGGGUAGCGAAGAGGAUUAGAUACCCUCGUAGUCCAUGCCGUAAACGAUGUGUGCUAGACGUUGGAAAUAUAUUUUUUCAGUGUCGCAGCGAAAGCAUUAAGCACACCGCCUGGGGAGUACGACCGCAAGGUUAAAACUCAAAUGAAUUGACGGGGACCCGCACAAGCAGUGGAGCAUGUGAUUUAAUUCGAAGAUACGCGCAGAACCUUACCAACGCUUGACAUGUUCGUCGCGAGACUAAGAGAUUAGUUUCUUCAGUUCGGCUGGACGAAACAC